UGAUUGGGUCAUUGUUGAUAGAUGUGAAAUACUGAUAACCUAUUGUGCUUGUUGUGAACUUAUGAUAGCCUAGUGUGCAACUUAUGUAUUAAGAACGAAUGGAUGUUGUAUGGAUCUUGUUUAAGUAUCUAUAAAAAUAACAAUUUGCUUUACUUGAAUCUGAUUGUCUAAUUAUGAUUGAAUGAACCUCAGAACUCUGAAAAAUACUUAGAAAAAUAUUACAUAUGAAAUCGGAAGUAAAGGGAUCGAACUGAAUGAAAUGAUUAAGUAAGCCGCGGUCUGGUUGGAUUGAGGAAUCCUGGAUCGGGUCUUACAAGUUGGUAUCAGAGCUGAUUGAUUCAAAGAUUUGUUUGGGUUAUUGGGAUCACCACACAUUCGGCUGUUGAGACUCACGGUAAGGGGGU
rnacentral:lncRNA from 1 species